UGGGGAAUCUUGCGCAAUGGGCGAAAGCCUGACGCAGCCAUGCCGCGUGGAUGAUGAAGGUCUUAGGAUUGUAAAAUCCUUUCACCGGUGAAGCUGUAGCCGGAGAAGAAGCCCCGGCUAACUUCGUGCCAGCAGCCGCGGUAAUACGAAGGGGGCUAGCGUUGCUCGGAAUUACUGGGCGUAAAGGGCGCGUAGGCGGACAUUUAAGUCAGGGGUGAAAUCCCAGAGCUCAACUCUGGAACUGCCUUUGAUACUGGAUGUCUUGAGUGUGAGAGAGGUAUGUGGAACUCCGAGUGUAGAGGUGAAAUUCGUAGAUAUUCGGAAGAACACCAGUGGCGAAGGCGACAUACUGGCUCAUUACUGACGCUGAGGCGCGAAAGCGUGGGGAGCAAACAGGAUUAGAUACCCUGGUAGU
rnacentral:rRNA from 1 species